rnacentral:rRNA from 1 species
AGCGAACGCUGGCGGCAGGCUUAACACAUGCAGGUCGAACGCCCCGCAAGGGGAGUGGCAGACGGGUGAGUAACACGUGGGAACGUACCCUUUGGUUCGGAAUAACUUGGGGAAACUCAAGCUAAUACCGGAUAAGCCCUUAUGGGGAAAGGUUUACUGCCGAAGGAUCGGCCCGCGUCUGAUUAGCUAGUUGGUGAGGUAAUGGCUCACCAAGGCGACGAUCAGUAGCUGGUCUGAGAGGAUGAUCAGCCACACUGGGACUGAGACACGGCCCAGACUCCUACGGGAGGCAGCAGUGGGGAAUAUUGGACAAUGGGGGCAACCCUGAUCCAGCCAUGCCGCGUGAGUGAUGAAGGCCUUAGGGUUGUAAAGCUCUUUUACCCGGGACGAUAACGACUGUACCGGGAGAAUAAGCCCCGGCUAACUUCGUGCCAGCCGCCGCGGUAA